GGCGGCAGGCCUAACACAUGCAAGUCGAGCGUAUGAUCCGAGCUUGCUCCCGGAUUCAGCGGCGGACGGGUGAGUAAUGCCUAGGAAUCUGCCUGGUAGUGGGGGACAACGUUUCGAAAGGAACGCUAAUACCGCAUACGUCCUACGGGAGAAAGCAGGGGACCUUCAGGCCUUGCGCUAUCAGAUGAGCCUAGGUCGGAUUAGCUAGUAGGUGGGGUAAUGGCUCACCUAGGCGACGAUCCGUAACUGGUCUGAGAGGAUGAUCACUCACACUGGAACUGAGACACGGUCCAGACUCCUACGGGAGGCAGCAGUGGGGAAUAUUGUACAAUGGGCGAAAUCCUGAUCCAGCCAUGCCACGUGUGUGA
rnacentral:rRNA from 1 species